rnacentral:rRNA from 1 species
UACGGAGGGGGCUAGCGUUGUUCGGAAUUACUGGGCGUAAAGCGCACGUAGGCGGCUUUGCAAGUUAGAGGUGAAAGCCCAGGGCUUAACCCUGGAAUUGCCUUUAAAACUGCAUCGCUAGAAUUGUGGAGAGGUAAGUGGAAUUCCGAGUGUAGAGGUGGAAUUCGUAGAUAUUCGGAAGAACACCAGUGGCGAAGGCGACUUACUGGACACAUAUUGACGCUGAGGUGCGAAAGCGUGGGGAGCAAACAGG